rnacentral:rRNA from 1 species
CGGCAACGGAUAUCUCGGCUCUCGCAUCGAUGAAGAACGUAGCAAAAUGCGAUACUUGGUGUGAAUUGCAGAAUCCCGUGAAUCAUCGAGUCUUUGAACGCAAGUUGCGCCCGAAGCCUUUAGGCCAAGGGCACGUUCUGCCUGGGCGUCAUG